CUGUUGAAAAGAGAUUAGAGACAAGGGGAAACAAGAAAAAAACUCUUAUCUCUGUCAGAGGUCUGAGGAAGGCCCAACCCCUACAUGCUAGGGAAAAUCCCACCCAUGGGGGAGAGAAGGCCACACUUUCUCUCUUCCCUCCUGCACUGCCCCCCAAAAUAACGGUGAUCCCAAAGCAAACAAGGGCAGUGGAGCAGCCCAAGCCCUUCCUUGCCUGCAAAGCAAAGCAGCCCCUGCACAGGUUCUGGAGUCCCACCUCUGCUCCCGCCAUGGGGGUUUCUCUGUGCCGGGCUGGCUGCCCCAGCCCCAGCCCCAGCCUCAGCCCAGGCCAUGCUGGGUGCUGGGGGCUGUUGGCAGCUGGGCAGCCGACUGAAGUUGCAUCUGCCCCAGCAAAGGGAGAAACUUUUGUUCCCAGCCAGUCUGAGCAAUGCCCAAAUCUGGGAGCAUUUCCCCGGCUGUGGACUCAUCUGCGAAUUCGCUGUGGAGCCUGGCUUUGAAGACGGUGCCACAAGUCCAUCAUCUUCAGCUGCCAGUGGCCAGGUUGAGGAAGAGGUUGUCAUCCUUGAUGUUGUCGUCGCUGUCUCCAGCAGCAGCAGCAGCCCCACCUGGUACAGCUUCUCCAAGGACUCCUUCUCCUUCCCUGGGGGUCAGACCAGGCUGUCAGGGUUCUGCCCAGGGCCCCAGCUGUCAGGGAAGCAGGACAAGCAAAACCAGCUCGGAUGGCAGCCACCAGUGCUGGGCAGAGCAGCUCAGCUCCAGCACAAGGGCUGCGUGUUCCCACCCAACAAUCCCAGUGCAUUGAUACAGGCAGGGAAAAAAGUCUGGGUUCCUUGCUUCUGAUUGCCAGGGCAUGUGUGGACCUGUAACUUACCAGGGCCCUGGAGCAAAGUGUGCAUGUGGCUCUCUCCCUUUUUCUAUGGCAGGUGAAUAUCCUGUAUCCAAGGAUCAUAGAACAGGUCUUCUAAUGAAGGUCUGUCCAAGAAGUGCAUGGAUAAACACCACCUGAUAAGAUCUUGGCACUCUGGGCAGAGAAACCAGAAACCACGGUCAGCUAGAGAAGGCUCCUGUCUGCUUUGCCCCACUCUUCCCAUGCCCAGGCCAUGCUGCUUUUGUGCUCAGAGCUGUGCCUAAACUUUCCCAUCAAUUCCCUGUUGUGGAGGAGAGCAGGAGAGCAGGACAUGUGCCACCUCCUCAGCGGCUGCCAGAGCGAGAUGCUCACGAGCUGCUGCUGUCUCCCAGCACUGGUAUUCCCCCGUGGCCAGAGAUGAGGAUCCACCUGGAGAGAGCCGCUGUGGCAGCGAGAGCUGAUGGUCCCAGCUGAUCUUCCGGCCCCUCCUGAAAGGGUGCUGCCCGCAGACCAUCUGGUGCAGCAGGAUGCCCAGGGACCAGAUCGUUGCUGCCUCGCCAUGGUACCAGCCCAAGUGGGUCCAUUCUGGGGGGCUGUAUGACAGUGUUCCUGUGGAAUACAGAUGGAGUUCAUCAGGGGGAUGCUGCUGCUUCCAGAGCCUGGCCCCAGCAUCCCUGGGCGUGCAGGGGCUGCCCCAGUGGCACACGGGGCGACUGCUGCACUCUCGCCAGCACCUGGGACUUGUGUACAAACUCAGGGCUGGACAAGAAGCCACUGGUGUUGGAAGAGGGCAGCAGAAGCCCCGGCAAGGCCUGACCGUGACAUGCAAGGCAAAAAACCCACUCAGGGCUGGGGGAAAAAUCAUCUCCUUAUCCUCCCUGCCUGCAGUGCCCUAAAAAUAUUAUGAAGCCAAGGCAAACAAG
ensembl:lncRNA